UCAGUGCGGGCAAGUUGCAUGGAAAUGCACGCCGUGGAGGGUGAGAGCCCCGUCCAACCCACACAGGACACGCCGUACGAGAGCGUUUCAGGCGAGUCGGGUAGCUUGGGAAUGCUGCUCUAAUCGGUGGUAAAUCUCAUCGAAGGCUAAAUAGCGGCUGGAGACCGAUAGCGAACAAGUACCGUGAGGGAAAGAUGACAAGCACUUUGAAAAGAGGGUGAAAAGAGCCUGAAACCGUCAUGGGGGAAGCGGAUCGCGUUGGCCUGGUGGGCGCCUGUGUGUUCAGCCUUCGGGUGCAUUGGCACAGGUGCUUAUCCGCUGUGGGUUUUCGGGGGUCGAUUUUGGAUCCCUGGAGGCUGAGGGCUCCCUUCGGGUGAGGACAGCGGAGUGACGACGCGAUACGACCCGUCUUGAAACACGGACCAAGGAGUCUAGCGCGGGUGCGAGUCGGAGGGUGCAAGCCCGUGGGCGAAGUGAAAGCGAGUGUAAAAACGAGCAGUUUGGGGCGGCAUAAGAUCGUUGAUCUCAAGACCGACCCAGAGCAGUUGCGCUGGGACCCGAAAGAUGGUGAACUAUGCCGGAGUAGGGCAAAGCCAGAGGAAACUCUGGUGGAGGCUCGUAGCGGUGCUGACGUGCAAAUCGCUCGUCCAACUUGGGUAUAGGGGCGAAAGACUAAUCGAACCAUCUAGUAGCUGGUUCCCUCCGAAGUUUCUCUCAGGAUAGCGGGCCGACAAGUUGUUUUGUGCGGUAAAGCGAAUGAUUAGCGCACGUGGGGCCAUUUCGGCUUCAGGCGAUUCUCAAACUUUAAAUGCGCAAGGGUGUCGCUGCUUAAUUGAGCGGCACCGCUAAAAACGUCGGCCCUGUGGGCCACUUUUGGUAAGCAG
rnacentral:rRNA from 1 species